rnacentral:rRNA from 1 species
GAUGAACGCUGGCGGCGUGCCUAAUACAUGCAAGUCGAGCGAACAGACGAGGAGCUUGCUCCUCUGACGUUAGCGGCGGACGGGUGAGUAACACGUGGAUAACCUACCUAUAAGACUGGGAUAACUUCGGGAAACCGGAGCUAAUACCGGAUAAUAUAUUGAACCGCAUGGUUCAAUAGUGAAAGACGGUUUUGCUGUCACUUAUAGAUGGAUCUGCGCCGCAUUAGCUAGUUGGUAAGGUAACGGCUUACCAAGGCAACGAUGCGUAGCCGACCUGAGAGGGUGAUCGGCCACACUGGAACUGAGACACGGUCCAGGCUCCUACGGGAGGCAGCAGUAGGGAAUCUUCCGCAAUGGGCGAAAGCCUGGCGGAGCAACGCCGCGUGAGUGAUGAAGGUCUUCGGAUCGUAAAACUCUGUUAUUAGGGAAGAACAAAUGUGUAAGUAACUAUGCACGUCUUGACGGUACCUAAUCAGAAAGCCACGGCUAACUACGUG